AUUGAACGCUAGCGGGAUGCUCUACACAUGCAAGUCGAACGGCAGCGCGGACUUCGGUCUGGCGGCGAGUGGCGAACGGGUGAGUAAUGUAUCGGAACGUGCCCAGUAGCGGGGGAUAACUUCGCGAAAGCGUAGCUAAUACCGCAUACGCCCUACGGGGGAAAGCAGGGGAUCGUAAGACCUUGCACUAUUGGAGCGGCCGAUAUCGGAUUAGCUAGUUGGUGAGGUAACGGCUCACCAAGGCGACGAUCCGUAGCUGGUUUGAGAGGACGACCAGCCACACUGGGACUGAGACACGGCCCAGACUCCUACGGGAGGCAGCAGUGGGGAAUUUUGGACAAUGGGGGCAACCCUGAUCCAGCCAUCCCGCGUGUGCGAUGAAGGCCUUCGGGUUGUAAAGCACUUUUGGCAGGAAAGAAACGUCGCGGGCUAAUACCCCGUGGAACUGACGGUACCUGCAGAAUAAGCACCGGCUAACUACGUG
rnacentral:rRNA from 1 species